GCGUAUGCUUUCAACUGUCAUGACUUACUCAGAAAAGGUGUUUAUGGACAAAUUUGUUGCCACCCUAUAAACACGAGGUUCCGGAGCUUCAGGACAUUUAUAGGGAUGGGUGGAGAAAGUGAGCUGCCUGAGAGUUCUUUGCUUCGCUACAUAAUCUAGGAAAAUAUAAAAAGACCUUAGGUUCAUAAGACAUCUCAAUUGGUUGAUCACAUAAUAGAAGCCAAUCAAACAAAUAGAAUGAACGCAUAUAUUGAAGCUGGAUCUAGACACCGGUAUGAUGACAUAAAAAAUAUAAGCAUGUUAUAUUCAUGCACAAAAUGGCUUCAAGAGCAUCUAACAGAAGGCUAUCCAUGCAAGAUAAGGAGGGGUAGCUCGAGUCUUCU